UUCUUUGCUGGCGACCGGCGCACGGUGAGUAACACGUAUCCAACCUGCCCUUUACUCGGGGAUAGCCUUUCGAAAGAAAGAUUAAUACCCGAUAGCAUAAUGAUUCCGCAUGGUUUCAUUAUUAAAGGAUUCCGGUAAAGGAUGGGGAUGCGUUCCAUUAGGUUGUUGGUGGGGUAACGGCCCACCAAGCCUUCGAUGGAUAGGGGUUCUGAGAGGAAGGUCCCCCACAUUGGAACUGAGACACGGUCCAA
rnacentral:rRNA from 1 species